rnacentral:rRNA from 1 species
GAUGAACGCUAGCGGCAGGCUUAACACAUGCAAGUCGAGGGGUAUAGGGAGCUUGCUUCCUAGAGACCGGCGCACGGGUGCGUAACGCGUAUGCAAUCUACCUUUUGCAGAGGAUAGCCCAGAGAAAUUUGGAUUAAUACCUCAUAGUAUAGCAGUUUCGCAUGAAACCACUAUUAAAGUCACAACGGCAAAAGAUGAGCAUGCGUCCCAUUAGCUUGUUGGUAAGGUAACGGCUUACCAAGGCAACGAUGGGGUAGGGUCCGUGAGAGGGAGAUCCCCCANACUGGUACUGAGACACGGACCAGACUCCUACGGGAGGCAGCAGUGAGGAAUAUUGGACAAGUGGGCGCAAGCCUGAUCCAGCCAUGCCGCGUGCAGGAAGAA